AAGCGUGUGUAGGCGGUCGGAUGCGUCCGGUGUGAAAUCUCCCGGCUUACCUGGGAGGGGGCAUCGGAUACGGUCGGACUUGAGGGCAUCAGAGGCCAGUAGAACUCCCGGUGGACCAGUGAAAUGGGUAGAGAUCGGGAAGAAUACCAGUGGUGCAGACGGCUGGCUGGGGUGUACCUGACGCUGAGACACGAAAGCAUGGGGAGCAAACAGGAUUAGAUACCCUGGUAGUCCAUGCUGUAAACGAUGUCCACUAGGUGUGCGGGGUAUCGACCCCCUGCGUGCCGGAGCUAACGCACGAAGUGGACCGCCUGGGGAGUACGGCCGCAAGGUUAAAACUCAAAGGAAUUGACGGGGACCCGCACAAGCAGCGGAGCGUGUGGUUUAAUUCGAGGCAACGCGAAGAACCUUACCUGGAUUCAAUGCUAGUUGCACCGGGGGUAAUGCCCCGUCCUCGCAAGAGGCGGCUAGCACGGUGCUGCAUGGCUGUCGUCAGCUCGUGCCGUGAGGUGUUGGGUUAAGUCCCCUAACGAGCGCAACCCCUGUGGCCGGUUGAACAUCCGGCGAGACUGCCGCGCACAACGCGGAGGAAGGCGGGGAUGACGUCAAGUCAGCACGG
rnacentral:rRNA from 1 species